UGUGCUGCACUGCAAGGUCGCAAGG
rnacentral:piRNA from 1 species